rnacentral:rRNA from 1 species
UACGUAGGGUGCGAGCGUUAAUCGGAAUUACUGGGCGUAAAGCGUGCGCAGGCGGUUUUGUAAGCCAGAUGUGAAAUCCCCGGGCUUAACCUGGGAAUGGCGUUUGGGACUGCAAGGCUUGAGUGCGGCAGAGGAGACUGGAAUUCCUGGUGUAGCAGUGAAAUGCGUAGAUAUCAGGAGGAACACCGCUGGCGAAGGCAGGUCUCUGGGCUGACACUGACGCUCAUGCACGAAAGCGUGGGGAGCAAACAGG